rnacentral:SRP_RNA from 8 species
CUGCCUCGAGGAGCUCCGCCCCUCUCCUUUGCUGGCGAAGCCCCUCGAUGCCCAGGCGCCAGGCCCGGAAGGCAGCGAGGAGAGCAGCCCUCAGCAGCCGCUCG